rnacentral:misc_RNA from 1 species
GAAAUGCGAUAAGUAAUGUGAAUUGCAGAAUUCAGUGAAUCAUCGAAUCUUUGAACGCACAUUGCGCCCGCCAGUAUUCUGGCGGGCAUGCCUGUCCGAGCGUCAUUUCAACCAUCAAGCCCCCGGGCUUGUGUUGGGGACCUGCGGCUGCCCGCAGGCCCUGAAAACCAGUGGCGGGCUCGCUGUCACACCGAGCGUAGUAGCAAUCACCUCGCUCAGGGCGUGCUGCGGGUUCCGGCCGUUAAACAGCCUUACAAAACCCAAGGUUGACAUCGGAUCAGGUAGGAAGACCCGCUGAACUUAAGC